UGGUGUUUUAUGUGCAAACAUUGUUCUCA
rnacentral:piRNA from 1 species